GGGCAUCUGUGCUUGGGCUGCUGCCCCUGCGACCCAGCCCCGGAUAAGCGGAUGUAGAUGGAUGGAUGGAUGGAUGGAUGGAUAUUCAAUGUCAUGAACUCUGUGUGGCAGGCAGGAUUGGAUGCAAAUGUAGACUCUUCGACAGGACUUACACACAAAAAGCUUUAUUGCUUGUCAGCGUUAUUGCCGGAACAAGUUAAUGCAGGAAACUGGAAAUCCUAGGAACUAAACAAUGAACAAAAACACAGCUGGUAUGAGAGAGAACAUGAUACUGGACAGAGGGAAACAGAGGGCUUAAAUACACAAUGCAAUGACGAGGAGCGAGGGAACCACAAGGGAGCAUGAAAAAGGAGACAAGAGAGACAUGGCAGGCAGGGGAAACAUGGAUAAACACAAUAGACAGGGAAACGUACAAUGAAACAUAAGGAGGGAAAAAAGACACAAGGACUCACAAACAUAUAUAAAACCCAGACACAUAUAGAGAGACACCAAGGGCUAAGACACAAGGGAAUCUAAUAAUCAAGGAACUAAACAGCAUAACUAAUGAACCAGAACAUAAACCAUAAUACAAAAUUUUACCAAAACAAGAAACUCAAAAUGCUGGUUCAAAAGGACCCAGAACCAUGACUUUAAAUGAAUUUUGCUGACAGCACAGUUAACCAAAACAAAACUAAUAUAAAGCAUACUGUUCAAGGGCAGUGAAGACAUCUACUGGGCCAACUUUGUCUGUGGCUUUUGUGGUAUCAAAUUCAUUUGUGAUACAAAUGUUUGUCCAGAUACUAUAUAUUUUAAAGGUGUUUUUUGUCUUUAAAAAAAGGUUUGAAAUUAUAUUUUUAUAACAAUGACUCUUUACUUCUCUAGUAUGAGUAUUCGAGUGACCCUAGCGAAAAAAGGGACCCGUUUGGGUACUUUUGGAUUUUUGAUUCUCAAUAUAUCAGUCAUUUUAAAGACCAGUUGCAUGAAACUUGGCCAGGAUGUGUGUUUUAGGAUUAUUUUUAAAAUUCAAUGAUCCCCUCUAUGGUGUGGUGUAUAGUAAAGGAGAUUCACAUAUGUACUACCUCCUGUUACUCUUGUACCCGUUUGGCCCCAUUGACUCCCAUUAUAAUCACAUAUUUUCAAUAUACUGUAAUCCUGACAUGUGAUAAUGCUUUUCUCAUGAAUAGCUAAUGGAUCUAAGCCUCUGCCUUCAAAAUAAAGGAAAAAUAGGUUUUGGAUCAAAUGAGCACAAUAUUAGGCACAGCACCACCAUAGACAUUUUCAGUGGUUUUGAAUGCAGGACAUGGUUAUCUUACCUUUCAAAAUACAUGGUAAUAAAACAGCUGACCACCAUAAAAUUGUCUUGAUGUAGUGGAACUGAUAUAAGUGAGUGGUGUGAAUGUGAUUGAGAAUAUAUAUAUAUACUGUGUGUGUGUGUGUGUGUGUGUGUGUGUCGGUCGCAAACAAAACGGCCCAUAGCGCCGCCUCCUUGAAGUGAACAACGGGAGCCUGCUCCGUUUUUUUCCCUUUCUCUAAAUCUCUCUAAAUGUUUUUUUUUGCUUCAUUUUGCACAUGAGCCUUGCGUUUGCUCUCAGCAAGCGAGGGGAGGGGUGCCAAAGCAGCCACGUGUUUGUUGAGCAGAGGGGGGAGGGGCAGUCGCUACUCUCCCAGUGGCACGUCAACAGAGCCGCGGGGAGAGACAGAUCGUUUUCUAUCUUCUUGGAUUCAAGUGCACCUUUGAAGUCUGUGAGAAUAGUUUGCAGCCUUGUCUUACUAGUCAUUUCUGCACAGACGCCACGAAAUGCACAGACGCGGGCACGCACAACGCGAAGCGCACGGUCAAUUUAGGGCAGGCUUUUGCUGAGAAAGAGCAGCGUUCCAAAAAGCGGAAGCAGGGCUCAUCGUGCAAACAGCACAUUAUUAUCGUAACUGCUGCAAAUGUUAGAUAUAUAUAAGAUAUGUCCUGUCUGCAAAAUCUAUGCAUCUUGUGGUUCAUGCUAUAAAAUGUAAAUUACAUCUUUGUUUAGUUUGUUGUUGAGUUUGUUCAGGUCAGUUCAGUUUGUUUUUUUGCAAUAAAGUGUUAUUGUUCCAAAAAUAAUAAUGCAUCCAAAUCAAUGUUGUUAUGAAUUAUUUACCUAUUCAAGGCUGCAAUAACCUCAUGCCAAAUAGUUCCAUUUGCAACUAAUUUUUUGAAAAUAUUGCAUAUUAUGGGUUUUUCACCCCCCAAAACAGGGGUUUUUAUGACAAUAAAGCCAUAAAAACCUAAAAAAUAUUUAAAAAAUAAUGAAAAACUUUAUAUCAGUGGUUAGGUCUGAAGUUGUUUAAAAGAUCUGAUAUGAAAAAAAAAAUAAAAAAAAUUCAUAUAUGAUAUUGCUAUAUCACCUUUUGUCAGGGGACCCGUUUGGGUACGAAGGGCAAAGGAUGGGUGUAAAUUU